GGGUUGUGAGGUUAAGCGACUAAGCGUACACGGUGGAUGCCCUGGCAGUCAGAGGCGAUGAAGGACGUGCUAAUCUGCGAUAAGCGCCGGUAAGGUGAUAUGAACCGUUAUAACCGGCGAUUUCCGAAUGGGGAAACCCAGUGUGACUCGUCACACUAUCAUUAACUGAAUCCAUAGGUUAAUGAGGCGAACCGGGGGAACUGAAACAUCUAAGUACCCCGAGGAAAAGAAAUCAACCGAGAUUCCCCCAGUAGCGGCGAGCGAACGGGGAGGAGCCCAGAGCCUGAAUCAGCAUGUGUGUUAGUGGAAGCGUCUGGAAAGGCGCGCGAUACAGGGUGACAGCCCCGUACACAAAAGCGCAUGUGCUGUGAGCUCGAUGAGUAGGGCGG
rnacentral:rRNA from 1 species